rnacentral:rRNA from 1 species
ACGCUCGACACCUACGGGGGGCAGCAGUGGGGGAAUAUUGCACAAUGGGGGGAACCCGUGAUGCAGCGACGCCGCGUGAGUGAAGAAGUACUUCGGUAUGUAAAGCUCUAUCAGCAGGGAAGAAAAUGACGGUACCUGACUAAGAAGCCCCGGCUAACUACGUGCCAGGAGCCGCGGUAAUCUGAGCGGGCUGGCAAGGC